rnacentral:rRNA from 1 species
UGCGUAGGUGGUUAGGUAAGUACCUGUGGGAAAGACCUGGGCUUAACCCAGGAAGGUCGCAGGUGACUGCCUGGCUAGAGGGCGGGAGAGGAGCGCGGAAUUCCCGGUGUAGCGGUGAAAUGCGUAGAGAUCGGGAGGAAGGCCGGUGGCGAAGGCGGCGCUCUGGAACGUUCCUGACACUGAGGCACGAAAGCGUGGGGAGCAAACAGGAUUAGAUACCCUGGUAGUCCACGCCCUAAACGAUGGGUACUAAGUGUCGGCGGGUUACCGCCGGUGCCGCACCUAACGGAGUAAGUACCCCGCCUGGGGAGUACGGCCGCAAGGUUGAA